CUGCUGCCUUCCGUAGGAGUUUGGGCCGUGUCUCAGUCCCAAUGUGGCCGGCCACCCUCUCAGGUCGGCUACUGAUCGUCGCCUUGGUGGGCCUUUACCCCGCCAACUAGCUAAUCAGACGCGGGCCCAUCCCAUACCACCGGAGUUUUUCGCCCGGGGCCAUGCGGCCUCGCGCGCUUACGCGGUAUUAGCGGUCAUUUCUAACCGUUAUCCCCCGGUAUGGGGCAGGUUACCCACGCGUUACUCACCCGUCCGCCGCUAAGUCACUCCCGCUUCCUUACCG
rnacentral:rRNA from 1 species